rnacentral:rRNA from 1 species
UACGGGGGGGGCAAGCGUUGUUCGGAAUUACUGGGCGUAAAGGGCUCGUAGGUGGCCAACUAAGUCAGACGUGAAAUCCCUCGGCUUAACCGGGGAACUGCGUCUGAUACUGGAUGGCUUGAGUGUGGGAGAGGGAUGCGGAAUUCCAGGUGUAGCGGUGAAAUGCGUAGAUAUCUGGAGGAAUACCGGUGGCGAAGGCGGCAUCCUGGACCGGCAUUGACGCUGAUGAGCGAAAGCUAGGGGAGCAACCGGG